UACAGAGGGGGCAAGCGUUAUUCGGAAUUAUUGGGCGUAAAGGGCGCGUAGGCGGCUUGACAAGUGGAAGGUGAAAUCCCUCGGCUUAACCGAGGAACUGCCCUCCAAACUGCUUAGCUUGAGACCGGGAGAGGUGAGUGGAAUUCCCAGUGUAGCGGUGAAAUGCGUAGAUAUUGGGAGGAACACCAGUGGCGAAGGCGGCUCACUGGACCGGUACUGACGCUGAUGCGCGAAAGCGUGGGGAGCAAACGGG
rnacentral:rRNA from 1 species